AUUGAACGCUGGCGGCAGGCCUAACACAUGCAAGUCGAACGAGUGGCGGACGGGUGAGUAAUGUCUGGGAAACUGCCUGAUGGAGGGGGAUAACUACUGGAAACGGUAGCUAAUACCGCAUACCAUCAGAUGUGCCCAGAUGGGAUUAGCUAGUUGGUGGGGUAACGGCUCACCUAGGCGACGAUCCCUAGCUGGUCUGAGAGGAUGACCCGGCCAACCGGAACGGAGAAACCGUCCAAGCUCCUACGGGAGGCAGCAGUGGGGAAUAUUGCACAAUGGGCGCAAGCCUGAUGCAGCCAUGCCGCGUGUAUGAAGAAGGCCUUCGGGUUGUAAAGCACUUUCAGCGGGGAGGCGUUACUCGCAGAAGAAGCACCGGCUAACUCCGUGCCAGCAGCCGCGGUAAUUC
rnacentral:rRNA from 1 species